CUGGAAUGCUUGCGCCUCCCAUAGACUCUAGCGCCAGAGUUACCUCUAGUAAUCUUUGUAAGCAACU
rnacentral:lncRNA from 1 species